rnacentral:misc_RNA from 1 species
ACCGAGUAGAAGUGCCUGCGUGGUGUCCACACAGAUUGUCUGAUGAUAAGAAAGAGUCAAAAGCGUCUUGCGAAGCUGACAAGUGAUGUCCCCUUCGUCUAGAGGCCCAGGACACCGCCCUUUCACGGCGGUAACAGGGGUUCGAAUCCCCUAGGGGACGCCAAUGACUGACAGUGGGUGAAAGGCACGGUCAACGCUAACCUAAAACUGAUUAGAAAUAGUCAGGUUUAUGUUAUCUGCUCUUUAACAAUCCGGAACAAGCUGAAUAAUUUGAAACGACGGCAUGUGAAUGCGAAUUCAUGUGUUGUUGGAGUCUC